CCUUCAAACUUCUCUUCCUUCGUUACAAUGGCUGCCUCUUUUGCGACUCUUCAUGUGCUUUUCUUUUAGCAUGGUUACUUCUCGCUACCUUCAGUUUAAGCUUCUUCUUCUUCAAAGCAGAGUCAAUCUCAAAUGUCUCUUGUAAUGAAAAAGACAAUCAAGCCCUUCUAACUCUCAAACGUGGUCUCACUGAUCAUGGACACGUCCUCUCAUCCUGGUCUGACCAUAAAGAUUGCUGUAUUUGGGACAGAGUUUUCUGCAACAAGAAAAUUGGCCAAGUCUUUGAACUCCAUUUCAAUUAUUCGAGGUUAGGCAGUGAGAAUAGUGGUUCAUUUCUCCAAUUAGAACAUUUGAAUUACUUGGAUUUGAGUGGCAAUGACUUUAAUUGUACUCCGAUCCCAACUUUCCUUGGUUCAAUGUACAGUCUCACACAUCUUGACCUCUUAGGCGCUAACUUUAGUGGACUCAUUCCUCAUCAGCUUUGGAACCUUUCAAGCCUUCGCUAUCUGUCUCUUGGAGAUAAUUCUGACCUUUAUGUAGAUAACCUUCGUUGGAUGUCUGGUCUCUCUACCAUUCAAUACCUUGGCCUCAGCUCAGCUGACCUUCACAGAGAAGUUGAUUGGCUUCAAAUAAUGAGUAAGUUCCCAUCUCUUAUGGAGCUAUACUUGUAUAAUUGUCAGCUUGAUAGUCUAAAUCCAUCUCUUGGAUUUGUCAAUUUCACGUCUCUUUGAGUCCUUCAUCUUUCUGGAAAUCAUUUCAAUCAUGAGAUACCUAAUUGGUUCUCUAAUCUCAGUACAAGCCUUUUAAGGCUUGACCUGACCAACAGUUCUUUGAAAGGCAAUAUACCGCCUAGCAUUUUCGAUUUAGAGAAAUUAGAAUCUCUAUCCUUGUAUACCAAUAAGCUAGUUGAACAAAUUCCAGAGCCGUUAAGCCAAUUUAAGCAUCUAACGUAUCUUGAUCUCGGAGUUAAUUCUUUAAAUGGCCCUAUACCUUCUUCCUUUGGGAAUUUGUCUCGUAUAAGAACAUUAUUACUUGACAAAAAUCGGUUGAAUGGCACCAUUCCAAAGAGUCAUGGGCUUCUCUCUAAGUUAGAGGCGUUGUAUGUUGGAAAAAAUUCUUUAAUGGGUAUCGUAGAUGAAGGGCAUUUCAGAAAACUCUCAAAAUUAAAGGUUCUCUAUAUGACUGAAGCACGUUUGUUCUUCAAUGUCAAUUCCAAUUGGGUUCCCCCCUUCCCACUUGACCAUUUCUCCAUGAGCUCAAUGAAGAUAGGUCCUAAUUUUCCUUCAUGGCUACAAUCACAAAGAUCCCUCAUUUUUUUAGAUAUGUCCAUGUUUGGAAUUUCAGGCAAAACUCCGAGUUGGUUCUAGAAUUGGACUUCAAACAUUACAUUUAUCAAUCUCUCUAACAACCACAUAGAAUGUGAUGUAUCAGACAUUUUCUGAGUUCUACUGUCAAAGUGCUCAAUAUAGCUAACAGCUCAUUUUCUAGACCCAUUUCUACUUUCUUAUGCCAAAAGAAAAUUAGAAAGAAUAAAUUAGAGGUUUUAGAUGCAUCAAACAAUCUCUUAUCAGGAGAACUUUCUCAUUGCUGGAAGUAUUGGUAGUCUUUGAUCCACUUAAACUUAGGGAGCAAUAAUCUAGUAGGUAGAAUUCCUUACUUCAUGGGGGGUUUUGAUUAACCUCCAAUCAUUGCAUUUACAAAACAAUAGCAUCUAUGGAGAUAUUCCUUCAUCGUUGAAAAACUGCUCAAAUCUGAGGCUCAUUGAUAUGGGUGAUAAUCAUUUGUUCAUCAUACCACUAUGGAUUGGAGAAAUGAAAAAUGUUUUGGUUCUCCUUCUAAGAUCAAGUGAAUUCAAUGGUUAUAUACCUCAACAAAUAUGCCAACCUUCUUCUCUUAGAGUAUUGGAUCUUGCCAAUAAUAGCUUAUCAGGAUCCAUACCAAACUGCUUGAAAAAUAUUAGUGCCAUGGCAUUACCAGAUUCCAAUGUUAUUUCAUUUAUAUAUUCGAAUAUAUAUGUUGAGAAUGUUGGGUUGGUUCCCAAAGGGAACGAAAUGGAAUACAAAGAGAACCUUAAAUUAGUUAGGCUGAUAGACCUUUCAAGUAACAACUUGUCCCGAUCAAUCCCUACUGAAAUUUUAGAUCUUUCCAAAUUACAUUUUUUGAAUUUGUCUCGAAAUCAUUUGAUGGGAAAGAUACUAGAAAAAAUUGGGAGUAUGAAAGAGUUAGAGUCAGUUGAUCUCUCACUAAAUCAUUUAUCGGGUAAAAUUCCUCCAAGCAUGUCUAAUUUGACAUUUCUUAGUCUCUUGGACUUGUCAUACAACAAUCUCUCAGGUAGAAUUCUUUCAAGCACCCAGCUUCAAUCUUUUGAUGCCCUUAGGUACAUUGGAAAUCCUCAGUUAUGUGGUGAUCCUCUUCCUAAAAACUGUAUAAUUGAGGAACAAUCUUUGAAUAGAUCACCAAUUGGCAGUGUUGAAGAUGAUUCUAAAAACUCCAGCUUCUACAUUGGUAUGGGAGUUUGAUUCGCAACUGGCUUUUGGGCAAUUUGUGGAGCUCUCUUCUUUAAUAGGACUUGGAGGCAUGCUUAUUUUAGAUUUGCCAAUGAAAUAAAAGAUUGGAUUUAUGUGACUACAAUGAUAAAGAUGAAUUUAUUGGAAAAGCUAAGAGUCUGCCUUAGUAAGUGAGGCAUCGUUAUCUAGCCAAAAGGUAUUGCUUCAAGUUAUAUGUCCUUAAUAUUUUUUCUUUCAUGUUAAUGUUGUAGUCAACUAUGAUAGAAGAAAUUGUUUCUCAUAUACAUAAUACAUCAAAUAUGUAGUUAGAAUUUUAUAUAUAUUUAUUUAUAAUUAUUAUUAUAAAUAGGAUGCAUAGCAUGAUUUAUCACCUCAUAUGUUGUAAACUUCAAUUCCAUCGGAGGAUUUAUGAGUAGAAUAUGAAAGAGGGCUUACCAUGAAUUCUUAUAAUUUCAACAUGGUGUAUUUUGAAUUGAGGUUAAGCUUGAUCAUACUCACAUCACUAUUAUUGAAAAUUGCAAUUCAUUGUUUAUACUUCAGGAGGAGAUGGCACUGGUUCAUGCUCUUCUAAAGGCCAAAAAAUCAUUAACGAAAGAAAUCUUUUUUUGAUAUUAUUUCAUCCUAGUUUUAUCAUAAAACAUGCUAUGCAUUAUGAUUCUUGGAUAUGUGUGUGAGAACUAUUUAUUUAUAUAGUGCUAGUCAUUUAAAGAAGAAUUAUUUCUCCAAAAAAUAGUGCUUCCUGGACUCAUUGAUUUAUUUCACAAUGACUUUUCUAUUCCACAAAUUCCAAGAGGCCCUUUCUCUCUCUCUCUCUCUCUCUCUCUCUCUCUCUCUCUCUCUCUCUCUCACAUUUUUUUUUUUUUAUAGUUUUACUGAAAAUACUGUUCCCUUAUUAAAAAAUGGGUUUCCCAUUUUAGAACCAACAAACUCUACUCAAUUGAGCUAAAUCUAUGACUGUUAUUGAAUUGAGUUGGGUUUUUGAUAACAAUAUUAGUCAUAAAGAUUAAAACUUUCUUUCAUUGAUGCUAUGUUUUCUUAUCUUCUUCUUCUUCUUUUUUCUUGCACUUUUAUAUGACCCUUUUGCUCUUUUGCAAACAAUAUUCAUAGGUUGUGAAAACUCCCGCAAUCCAAGCCAAUUACAAUUUGAAGUUGACAUAAAUAAAUUGUUUCUAUAUACCAGGGAUGCUGAUGAGGCAAAAGCAGAGGAGUUCAAUGAAAUGGCUUGUAAAGCCUCUCUUGCUGAUCAACAGAAGCAAGUCCAAGAAAACAUUCAUCCUUAGAUUAUAAGUUUCUCCAUGUGUAUAGAUGAAAUUCUUCUGCUUUAUACUGAAAGGAUAGGUGAGGCACAAGAACUGCCUCCACAACCAAUAGAUGCUCCUUGUUAGAGUGGCCUUGGUUUUAAUAUUGGCCAACCUAUUGACUAUCCCGUAUUUGGAUGGCAUGUUGCUGGCUAACAAAUGCAUGGAUAUGUGAGAAAAAAAGGGGAUCAAUAUCUCUAGAAGUACAAGGAUGUCCUCCAAGCUGAAUUUAUGCCCUCCAGUUUAAUCUCCUUAUGUGGUAAGCACUAAUUGGUGUUCUUUUAAUUAUAUGGUUAAUGUUUCAAACUUUUUCCUGAAUAUGUUUCCCAAUAACAUCAAAUCAACCCUUAUUGCCUGAGAGGUUGGAUGAAAGGGCUUCAAUUGGGUGCUUGUUCAGUAAUACGUAGCUGUUAAAUAUGUUUGAUUGUUACAAAAUUCAUUACAAUUGCGCAUAUAAGCAGUGCCCCAUAUCAUAAUCUUUGUACUGGAAUCAAAUUAGAAUGUUUCUGCACCUAGAUUUGUUUGCAAGACUAUUAGUUUUUGCUUAAUGUACUGGAGUAUAUGUACUUGUUGAGCUUGGAUGAAUUUUGUAUUACAGGAAAACAUCAAAAUCCAGAAAUCAGUAAUGUUGUCUUCUGCUGAGUUGCUUGUCCAACAAUUGUGAAAUUCCUCAGGUUUCCUUUGGUGGCAAUUUUGCUUUGUGUAGUUUGCAGCACUUAGUUUGAUAUACAUGAUCAUGUAUUACCACUCUCUUUUACAUCUUGUUAUGCAGAAGCUCUCGACAUUUCCAUCAUCUAACACUUUCAUUUGAUUUUUCUUGUUGAGCUUGCUGUCUUCAAUAAUUAUUGUACUGCUCCUCCUUGUAUUUAAUAAGUUUUUUUUUUUUUUUCAUGGUUAUUUUUUUUUAAUCAAAUUGUCAACAAUGAAUUGUUUUUACUUAUGCCACUAUUAACAUAGCUUAGCAAUGCCCUUUUUGGCCUACAUUUAGAAAACACAUGAAAUUAGAAUGCAAUUUAUGGCAUUUUAAUUUUUAUAAUAAAACUUAUGCAUUUGUGAAGAGAAUAAAGGAGAAAGGUUUAUAUGUACAACACAUUUUUUAUUGGCCAUAACUACAUUAUUUGGGUUUUUAGUACCUAUCUUCUGUUUAGGUACAGAAGAAGUCUUAAAUAAUUAUUACAAAAUUUCCACAUUUGGUUCUGAUUACUUAAGAGCUUGUGGGUGUGUCAUGUGUGUUCUAGUUCUCCCAUUAAAGUACCAAUUACUAAUGAUUUUUCUGCACAUCAUUGAAUUGUGCUAAAGUCUAGCUAAAAUUGUUUGAGAAGGAAUGCUGAUGAGGCAGAUGCAAAGGAGAUCAUAGAAUGGCUAGUGAAGCCUCUCUUGUUGAUCAACGAGCCAAGUCCAAGAAAAUGUCCAUGCUCAGAUCAAAAGUUUCUCCAUGUCUAUGGAUGAAAUUCUUAUUCUUGGUACUAAAAGGAUAGGUGAUGCACAUGAAUUGGCUCCACAACCAACAGCUGCUCCUUGUUGUAGUGGCCUUGGUUUUGCUGUUGGCAGUAAUGGCCAACCUACUGACUGUCCUGUGUGAGCAAAAGAAAUCUACAAUUGGGCAGCGAAGUGUGGGAAAUGGGAUGGUGGCCUUUGCGGGUGGGGCAGGGGAGGGGAAGAUUUCUUGGGGAUACUCAAAUUGAUUUUAUGGAAGGCAAAUUCAAGGAAAACUAUUUCUUGGGGAUACUUAAAUUGAUUUUAUGCUAGGCAGUGCUGAAGAUGACUCUAAAAAUUCCAGCUUCUAUAUAGGUAUGGGAUUUGGAUUCACAAUUGGCUUUUGGGCAAUUUGUGGAGCUCUAUUCUUCAAUAGGACUUGGAGGCAUGCUUUUUUCAGAUUUGCUGAUGACAUAAAAGAUCGGAUGUAUGUGACUAUAGUGAUAAAGAUGAAUUGGUUAUCUAAAAAGGCAAGAGUCUGCCUCAGUAGGUGAAAGGCAUCAUUAUCUACCUAAAAGGUAGAUAGUGGAGGAGGGGAAGAUGAGUUUCAACUACAGAUGAAUCAUGCACCAUAAAGGAUACCAUUACCACUAUGCUGCCAUUGGACUUUGUUUAGAGAUAUUUGAAGUGGACAAAGAGGGAACUCAUUGGAAUACCCUCAAUAGAACGAAAGUUGUACUAUGACAGUAGAAAUUGUUUCUCAUAUACAUAGUGCAUCAAAUAGGUGGUGUAGACCAUCAGUAGCAUCAUCAGCAACACUUUAAGCCUUAAAAUAUCUUUUUCUUAGUUGUUUUUUCUGUUGGGUUAAAAGAGACUGUAAUUCAGUAGCCUAUACUGCUACCAGGCUCUCCCUUUUAUCAUCUAAGUCCUUUAUAAGUUACAAUAAACUCAGUCUCCUUGAUGUUCUUA